ACUUACGGCAACACCGGCCUGAGUACGCCUGAUCUCGUCCGAUCUCGGAAGCUAAGCAGGGUCGGGCCUGGUUAGUACUUGGAUGUGAGACAGCCUGGCAAUACCAGGUGCUGUAAGCU
rnacentral:rRNA from 13 species